rnacentral:rRNA from 1 species
GUGAACGCUGGCGGUAGGCCUAACACAUGCAAGUCGAACGGCAGCACAGUAAGAGCUUGCUCUUACGGGUGGCGAGUGGCGGACGGGUGAGGAAUACAUCGGAAUCUACUUUUUCGUGGGGGAUAACGUAGGGAAACUUACGCUAAUACCGCAUACGACCUACGGGUGAAAGCAGGGGAUCUUCGGACCUUGCGCGAUUGAAUGAGCCGAUGUCGGAUUAGCUAGUUGGCGGGGUAAAGGCCCACCAAGGCGACGAUCCGUAGCUGGUCUGAGAGGAUGAUCAGCCACACUGGAACUGAGACACGGUCCAGACUCCUACGGGAUGCAGCAGUGGGGAAUAUUGGACAAUGGGCGCAAGCCUGAUCCAGCCAUGCCGCGUGGGUGAAGAAGGCCUUCGGGUUGUAAAGCCCUUUUGUUGGGAAAGAAAAGCAGCAGGUUAAUACCCCGCUGUUCUGACGGUACCCAAAGAAUAAGCACCGGCUAACUUCGUG